GUUUAAAUAGUUUAUACAAAAUGUUGGUUUGUGACACCAGAGAUGUGGUUCCCACUUUAAACC
rnacentral:tRNA from 1 species